GAGAGAGAGAGAGAGGCCGGUCAGAAAAGAGAGAACGUGUACGGGAGGUAUACGCGGGAGCAUCUCCGCGGCGGGCGGGCGGGCUGUUUUCGCUGCGCGAGAUUGAAAUUAAAAUCGAUUAGCCUCGGGCGAAUAAUCCGUCAAGUUCUUCGCGUCGUCGGCGGUAUUCAAUUAAAUGGCCGCGAUCGAGAUCGAUGAAAAAUCUCAUCGAGGGAGGGCGAUGUUAUUCUCCACAAUGCUCGCGUGCGAUAGCGUCCGUACGACAUAUUUAAGGUUCGCACCCCUCGCGAUCGAAUCGAGGUGAACACAGUGAAAAAGAGUGUAAUAUUUGCGACUAUAAUUGCACAGUAAAAUAAUUACGGCCAGAGAUGUCAUUUUUAUAGCAAUAUAGUGAUUGUUUUAUAGAUUAUUUUAUAAUUUUAUAUUAUAAUAAUAUAACUUAUUAUAUUAAAAUCUCCAUUUUGAUUGUAGCAACCAUAUCAUAAAUUGCGUGAACUAUGAUUAUGAGAACUUUAAUGUAGUUUAAACAAAUUAUAAUUUAUAUUGUCGGAUAACUAUAAAAAAGUAUGAUUGAAACCAAAAAUGACUGACAAUUAUAGUAAUAUUAUAAUUAUUACAACUACUUUUUUCUCUCAGCUGCUGAGCUGACUUGAGAGGAGAACGAAACUCCAUUUACAUAUAUGUCAAUUCUUCUUUACUUUUCCCAUGUGUUUUGCGCGGGAAAUUUGUUUCAGACAAUUAUCUUAUUUGAUAAUAAUUGUAGCAAGUAGGUAUAUCUUUAAUGGACGUAUUAGCGUCUCGCUAUGAGACGCCUAUGAAUUACUGAAUGCUAAUUUUAAGGUUGUCGACGGCGGCUGAAAAUUACUUCUCGGUCCUUAUCUUAAAUAUCAAAUCCAAGUAUAACGACGGCACUUCAUUUCUAUGUUAAGCGUCGAUACUCAUCGCUAGUACGACGGCUUCCGACGAUCCGCGCGGUCGUGCUAUAUAUGAAUUUUUUUUCUUUCGCAUGGCUUACGACGAUUACAAAUGCGGAAAUUAUCGUCUUACACGGCGUUACACCUCGCCUCGAACGACCGCGGUAUGGAAACGUGAGAAAUCCAACGGCUAAUAAGACGCCCGACGUCGCUUAUCUACCGAGCCGUAAAAUAAUCUGUAUUAUAUUAACGAGAUAAAUAAUCGUCACCGGGAGAGCGCCGCGGUAUAUUCGCCUCGCGGAGAAAAAGGAGGAGGAGGAGGAAGAGAACGAGCGUAAGGUACAAACCGCAGGUAUACAAACUGGUCGGACGAAGCUGGAGCGAGGGAGAGGAAUCUCAUGAGACUAACGACGCCCGAUGACUCUCGAUAUCCCCGUUAAAACGGCUCCUAUAUCCGAAGCCAUCGAAGCCGGUUUACGGCGCGUCCGAAUCGAACUUUUGCGAUUGCACGCGGCGCGGCCGUAAUCGUUACGUAGGGACAUAGCGCCGGUCUAACCAGUCCCGAUAAGAUCUUUCCCAGGCUAAAUAUAACGUCGCACCGGCUAAAUCCGUAUCGCGCGGAGGAACACGUCGAUCGGAACACGCGGAACGUAACCGAGUGGCGCGUGCAAGUUCAAAUGAUUUCUCGAACGAAUCGCGGAGGUGCGCUGCUCCCGACGGAAAUGGAACGGCAUAAUUUUAGAGACUCGGUUUGGGCAAUCCAAAUGUUUAACGGCAAUUUAAAUUUUUAGAUUCUCAAUUUGCAGUUCGAGUGAUUCUAAGUAGCUUCAAUUCGGAACGACAUUUAAAAGCAGCAAUUUGUUCAAACGCAUUAAAAUUUCUAACAGACCUUUGAGAGAACUCGCCGUUCAUCAAAGGGCAUCGUGCGACUCGUAUUUAUAUCAGGUCUAACCGCGCUACCUGCGGAUCGUUUUGUCGCCGAUGGUGUCGAUUAUUCCGCUCGAUCGAUUCGGGAGCAUACCCGUGAUAAUAAACCAAGUCAAGGUAGUCAAUGCUACAGCGAUAUAUCCCAUGCUCCACAUACUUUACACGGCGGGAGGAAGAGGAGAUCGGAGCGUUCCGACCCAUGGGGUUGGGAUCGUUCCGAGUACACAAUCCGCGAGGCUGGUAACACGAAGGAGCGAGAAGAGAGAGAGAGAGAGAGAGAAAGAGAGAACCUCGAGAUUUGUGUCAGGGUGUCUUGCAAGAGAGAGUUACGGGCGAUGAGGUGCACGCGAGUACAUCAAUAUUACGCGCAUUGAUCCGAUAAGCGAGCGGCCUAAGGAGGAUCUCUCCUAUCGGCCCAAAGCGCCGCGGACUAACGGUAUUCGCCCCGCCGGCCGCUAAACACGAGAAGUCAAUUAUUUUCCUCGCAACAUUAUCUUGCGACCUUUAUCGGCCGAGAAUUACAAUCGCGGCCGAUAGAUUCCGUCGCGGAAUACGCACACGUGCCUCCGAAGAGCACGUUGUCUUUGCGCGUGGGAAUAUCAUUUCCCGUGUGUGUGUGUCGGAUCUCGGUAUGAGAAACGACUCACGUGCAAUUAUUCGAUGCAAAUAAAUUUGCGCGCGAUUUCGCGAGGCGAUCGAUUCAUCGUUACCGCGCGGAUAUCGCACACAUUCUAACACACAUGAGCUCGAGCUCAUAUAAGCCAGCCCGUUAGAUGUUAUCAGCCCGCGAGAUACAACGAGGACGGGAGAAAGGAGAGAGUGGGAAAGAUGCCGUCGGUUCGUGCCGUUAUAUCAAAUCCAGGUCGUUAUACGUGCCUCUAAAACACUUCCACAUUGGGAGCGCUCCUUAAACUGCAUUUUCGUCUUUCUCACGGCACCUUCGUCAAAUAAUCAUUAAUACUAAAACAGUUUUUAAAUCUCCACUGCUCUCAUUCGACAAACACAUUUUCCAAAUCUUCAAUAACAGUUGUACUAAACGAAUAAUGUGUUAAUGUGUUAAUAAAAAAAAAUAACACCAUACAAAUAUAAUUUAUAUAAAAGAUUGGAAGUAAAAAGUAAAAAAGUUUUAGAGUAAACUUUUAUGUCACAUCUACACAAUUACAAUAAAUUAAAUUAAUAAACCGAGCUUCAUAUACGAGAGUAAUGGAAAAUUAAAAUCUAGAACUGUCAAACACAUUAUACAAACGUAGAACAUUACGCAUUAAAAUUAAAAUAAUGACACCAAACACAUAUGCUUAAAAAUUUUUUUAAUGAAUGAAAUUUUAUAUUAUAAAUUUCCAGACAUUUUUCUAAUUUUAUAUUAUGUGUUUUCUUCUGCAAAAGAAAAGUCCAGUAGCUUUGUUGUGAUAUCAAAAUUCCGCCACGUAAUUCACGAAGACCGGAAGACGCGAUGCCAUAGCACGGUUACCACCUCGUUAAUUACGAGACGAGGACAAUCACGCAAUUGGAUCUCAUUGUCUAAUUACAACAAAGUUACGAUGAGAAACGUGGUGGAUUGUCAUCGUCGUCGUCGUCGUCGUCGUCAUCUCUAGGGGCGGAUCUCAGUUCAUUAACCAGACGGCGUAAGAAAGAAAGAAAGACGCCGUGCACAGAGAGAUCGACGGCGAUAAGUGCACACCGCUGGUCGUGAACACUUACCGCGGGUAAACAAAGUUUUUCCAACGCCGGGGAUUUCCAUUUGGUAUCAGCCACGCAAUUAAUACCGAAGACAAAGGAUACCAAAAGUGAAUAUCGUAAACAUGCUUCUUGUGCCGAAGUUCCCCCCUCCUCACGUUGAAUCUUCUUUUUCUCGUCGAGAUUGCAGCUCCGCGGGGCAGCGUGGUAAAUAACAAAAAGUUAAUAUUGCACGGCGCAGGAGAGAGAGCCGAGUUUCAUUGGAAUCGGAAUAUUACGACGGGGGAACAUAUACGUAUGGAACUCCCGGCGAGGUCACCGGCGGGUGACGUCACUCACGGAUGAUCACCGUCUUCACGGCAGAAGACGCGACCUUGAGGUGUCUUCGCGCUUCUUCGAUCGUAGCGAGCCAGCUUAACGAUCCAUCGAUCGCUUUCGAUCGCAGCCGAGCGGCCUCUGAAGUUGGGCCGGUUUGAUCGGUCGGUUCGCGUCCGCGAACGAAAUUAUCACUUUCCGACGGUUAUUAAUUUCUGCGCGUUAGUGCACGAAAUUACAGUUGUCUGUACCCCGUAAUGUGUUAAUCUCUAUGCUAAUGGCGCAAUUCGAUGUGCGUAAUAACGUUUCUUUCCUAGUGCGCGCGUGCAAGUUAAUGGAUUCAAGCGCCGAUCGAGCAAAACGUCCGUAUAGUUUACUCUCCCGGGGGACACUGGAUACUUUUAAUAUCAAUAUCAAACGGCGCGAGACGCGCCGAUGCAUCGCGUUAAUCUUCGUGACGUGCCGUGCAAUUAAUCUGUAAACGAAACGCUUAGCGUUUUAAAAGCCGAGCCUGCACUCGAAUUCACGUGUCCACGUUGAUUAAUUAAAUCUCUGGCCCCUUUAAAAUUAACCAUUCAAAAAGCUCGGCAAGAAAUAUCGAUCGAGGCUCGAAUUUUCAUAUCAGGAAAGUGUCACCGACACACUUCAGAUUAAUAGCUUACGUUACAUGUAACGACGACAUCACCAUGUUCCGCCGUACAUGUUGUGACAAACGUGCGUUCAAUACGAUGAUGAAGGAGGUCGAUUUCGCGAUCGCACGUGGAAUAAAUGAAAAUCGAUUAGUUCUGCCUGCACAUCCGGUAUCAUUACUACGAGUGCACCGCCAUCCGAUAACGUCCGUCUUCUUGGCACGCGUCUCACUGUCGGCCAAGUGUAAUAUCGCUAUCCGUGGUCCGCUUAUCGUGGAUCAUCGAUAGUUCGCUUAAUCACUCGUCGCGAGUCUUGACGAAAUUCUAUUCUCAGAUCGACUUAAGUCGACGUUUUCCAUUCUUAUCGAUUUGACACGCGAAAGUUAAUCGCGCCGGUGGCGAUUAACGAAUUAACGAGCGAAGGUUACUUGUACUCUACGUACCGUUAUUACCAACGCCGCUCAUACGCAUAUAAACACUUAGCAUCGAGGGCAAGACGCGAGCUUAGCGAGAGAUUUAUCGAUCAUUAUCAAUGUAAUUCCAUUAUACGCGAGUUAUCGUAAAACCGAAGAAUUUCUCGUACUCUCGGGUUCGUUCGCGUCAUCGUGAUUACGCAUCAUCGUAACAACCUGGAAUUCCUCCAUUUACAGCUGCUAUCAAUAAUAAUAAUUUCUCUCUCUCGCGCGCGCGGUGGAUAUAAAUAGAUUUGCAUUAUUAGAUGUUAGCUCGCUGCUGUGGCGAUAAUGGCGAUUCUCCACGAUUGGAACCAUUACUUUAUUAGGCGCUUAAUUACUUCGUUAGUUCUGCGACGUAUUAUCGUAAAAAGUAUUCGUCACAUAGGCAUCUGCGUGUAAGCGAAUGAAAAACAAAGCCUGCGAUUACGUUUUAAAAUAAAUUCCGUACUCGAUAAAUUAGGUAUGCGUCACUCGAACGUCAUGCUGUUACGAAAUUAAUUUCAUUGAAACAAUAAAUCACUCUUGAUUGUC